AACCUUAUGGACCUGCGGGCGUAUACCUGCGGAGGGAUCAUUACCGAGUUAGGGUGUCUGUUCGCAGCGCCCGACCUCCCAACCCUUUGUCUAUGAUACCUAAACAGUUGCUUCGGCGUGCCGAGGGGUCGUACCCUCGCCGGGCCUCACGGCCGGGAGCGCGCACGUCGACGGCCUUUAUCUAACACUUGAACCCAAAACCUGUCGUCUGAAAACUUGUGAUUAACCAACAAUCAAAAA
rnacentral:misc_RNA from 1 species